UGGGGAAUAUUGGACAAUGGGGGGAACCCUGAUCCAGCCAUGCCGCGUGUGUGAAGAAGGCCUUAUGGUUGUAAAGCACUUUAAGCGAGGAGGAGGGUACUGGUAUUAAUACUACCAGGUACUGGACGUUACUCGCAGAAUAAGCACCGGCUAACUCUGUGCCAGCAGCCGCGGUAAUACAGAGGGUGCGAGCGUUAAUCGGAUUUACUGGGCGUAAAGCGUGCGUAGGCGGCUAAUUGAGUCGGAUGUGAAAUCCCCGAGCUUAACUUGGGAAUUGCAUUCGAUACUGGUUAGCUAGAGUGUUGGAGAGGAUGGUAGAAUUCCAGGUGUAGCGGUGAAAUGCGUAGAGAUCUGGAGGAAUACCGAUAGCGAAGGCAGCCAUCUGGCCUAACACUGACGCUGAGGUACGAAAGCAUGGGGAGCAAACAGG
rnacentral:rRNA from 1 species